ensembl:miRNA gmo-mir-449b gmo-mir-449b
AGGCAGUGCAAUGUUAGUUGACGUAUUAUUGGUCAAUUAACAAUGCUCUGGAUC